GCGAGGAGCGAGGAGUACUGGCUGACGACCUUGCUGUUGAGGGAUGUGGCGGCGGACUUGAUGAGCGUCUCGCGGUCGGAGAGCUCAAGCGGGACGGCUAAGGAUUGGAGUAUGUCGACGGCGCGUAGGGCGAGCUUGUGGAGGGCGUCGGAAAUAACAGUGGGGUGGAUGCCGCAAGAGAGGAGAAUGAGGGAGGAGCGGAGAAGGGACCCGGCGAGGACGACGACGGUAGUAGUGCCGUCCCCGGCGGCGGCAUCCUGGGAGCGGGAGAGGUCGACGAGCAUCUUGGCAGCGGGCUGGAGGACCUCCAUCUUGUUGAGGAUAGUGGCACCGUCGUUGGUGAUGAUGACCUCUCCGGAUGCGGAGGAGAUCAUUUUGUCCAUGCCUUUGGGGCCGAGACUGGUGCGGACGGCGUCGGCAA
rnacentral:misc_RNA from 1 species